rnacentral:lncRNA from 1 species
GAGGAUUAGGGAACCUUAAAAAACAAGAAUCCCAGGUCACUCUAGUUAUAACAAUUCCUCUGAACUGCUUGAAUCAAACAAACAUAAAAGUUUAAUUCCACUCUUUUUACCUGGAAUUCCAAAUCACCCUCUGGAAGCAUAUCUUAGUGUUCUCACAACGGGUUUGUGGCCUUAACGGAAAAAUAGAAUGAUUCUUAAGUCUACUUUUUAGAUUCUUGGAGCCCUCUGCAUCACGAGGCCCUUUAAGUGUUUCCUUGAAUCCUCGCACCAACUCAGGGAAGUAGGUGUUACAUCCUCAUUUCACACAUGAGGAAACUGAGGCUCACCAGAGUUCAAUUACUUGUGUGCGGUCAUAUCGUGUGAGGGGAGAAGGCAGGACCUGAACCUGGCAGUUUGCUCUGCAGAAUUGACCUUCCCGUCUGCAAGGCCAUGACAGCUCUGAAAAGAAAAUUAAGAAAAUGCAAGUCACCAGAGUCCCCUGGGAAACGUCCAGCUGUCCUGGGAGGGGAGCUCAUCUGUCCUGGAGGACCAUGACACUGCACUUCUUGAGGAACGGGCACUGAAAGGCACUGUAGGAGGACAUUUGUGACAGCGUGGUGAUGAAUUCGUGACGAGGCGGCAGCGUAGACUUGAAACAGGUCCACGUGUUUCUCUGCAUUUAGCCAAGACCAAACCAGAACGCACGCCCCUGGACGCGCAGCUGGAUGCAUGAAACAAAGAGGUUUUCUAUUUUGUCAUGAAAGGGACAUAAUUUGGGGGGAAAAGCCCUGCCCAAACCAGAAGUUCAGUUUGCGUUUGUUUCAGCCAAACUGCUUCAAGCCUGGUCACAGACUUCUGUGGACCUCGAUUGUUGCAGAAAUGUUUUUUAAAAAGCCUUUUAGGUUUUGUUAAACCUCUCCAGAAGUUUAUUUCAAAAUAAAGGAGUUACUAACACAGCUUUUCCAACGUUAGAUCAUAUUGUAAAGAACUCAUACAAUUCACUAGCAAAUAAAAAAAAUCGAUUAAAAUAUAGGCAGAGGAUCUGAAUAGACAUUUUUCCAGAGAAGACACACAGAUGGCCAAGAGGCA